ACUUAAUCCUCCAACUGGAACAGCUGUCACUUAAUGCAAUUGACACUUAGGCUUGGGGACCCAUUUUAACUGAAGAGCUGUUAACCCUAACAGUGUUAGCCAAAUUUUCUUCUCAGACAUCCACUGAUACCCAGCCUCCAGCCUCACGCCUCUCUCUCUCAUCCCCUCCACCUUUGUCUUGGUUUUCUCAGCAAACUCAGACCGGCGAGCUCUUGUGAGGCGAAUCGACGGCGGCGGUUCUGACCGGCAAGAGCUUGUGAGGCGGAAUGGACGGCGGCCACACCUCUGUUUUUCUCCGAACCUCAGACCGGCAAGAGAAUCCGGCCACCCACUGCACACGCCGUUCCUCCACCGAUUCCGCUCCAUCCCUUCUCUCUCUUUGCCAUUCCCAUCUCUUCGCCGCCAAGGACCACCGAUCCUACCACCCAUCUUUUCAAGGCUCCGAUUUUUAUAAGAGAGCAAAUUGAAAUCUCUUCUCCCACUUGACAACAUCUGUUCUGCAACAUCAUCUUUACCCUUAAUCGGUAAAGGUCCGAUGUUCCUAUAUGAAAUUUUUAAAGAGAAACGCUGUUUAAUUUCAGAAGAGAGCAAACUGAAAUCUCUUUUCCCACUUGAUGAUAUCAGUUCUACAGCAUCAUCUUCUCUCUUAAUCGAUGCUAGUCCAUAUCAUAUGAAGCACAGUGCAUUUAAGCUCAAGAAUGCUAUUAUGCAGCAACAAUAUAAACUCUGUUUACAGAACAAGUGCAACUUUAAGUUCUUUCUCAUAAUGUGGACCUUAAGGGUUAAAAGUGAGAUCCAGAAGACUUAAAUGGACAAGAAGAUUAAUAUUUGCACAGUUCGCGACUGAGGAUAGCUGCUAUAUAAGAGUAAUAGGGAUGAUGGUUAGUUCAGAAGAGAUGUGCAAUCCCCAUGGAGAAAAGCUGCAUUUUUGAAGUGCUUUCUGUGUCUACAAACUUGCCUAAUUGUUCUUUCUCUGGCUACCUAGUCUCUUAAACACAGGUUUUGGGGUAGCUUGAAUGUUGAUUCUGGACCCAAGGCCCUUCUUGAUGUAAUUUCUGAGGAUAGUAGCAAGUCCUCUUCCUUUGUAUUGCCUUGAUGUUCACUGCUUUGUAUUUUAAUAAAAUGUUUUUCUCAUAGCAAAGAAAAAUGAUACAACACCUUGCCAC